ACUCCUAACCCUUCUGUGACCUACCUAUCGUUGCUUUCGGCGGACUCGCCCCAGCCCGGACGCGGACUGGGACCAGCGGCCCGCCGGGGACCUCAAACUCUUGGUAUUCCAGCAUCUUCUGAAUACGCCGCAAGAGCAAAACAAAUGAAUCAAAACUUUCAACAACGGAUCUCUUGGGCUCUGGCAUCGAUGAAGAACGCAGCGAAAUGCGAUAAGUAAUGUGAAUUGCAGAAUCCAGUGAAUCAUCGAAUCUUUGAACGCACAUUGCGCCCGCCAGCAUUCUGGCGGGCAUGCCUGUUCGAGCGUCAUUUCAACCCUCGACCUCCCCUGGGGGAGGUCGGCGUUGGGGACCGGCAGCACACCGCCGGCCCUGAAAUGGAGUGGGCGGCCCGUCCGCGGCGACCUCUGCGUAGUAAUACAGCUCGCACCGGAACCCCGACGCGGCCACGCCGUAAAACACCCAACUUCUGAACGUUGACCUCGAAUCAGGUAGGACUACCCGCUGAACUUAAGCUAC
rnacentral:rRNA from 1 species